CCUACGGGUGGCUGCAGUAAGGAAUAUUGGUCAAUGGAGGAAACUCUGAACCAGCCAUCCCGCGUGAAGGAUGAAGGGGCUCUGCCUUGUAAACUUCUUUUGUCUGGGGCGAAAAAGCUCGAUUUAUCGAGAACUGACGGUACCAGAAGAAUAAGCACCGGCUAACUCCGUGCAAGCAGCCGCGGUAAUACGGAGGGUGCCAGCGUUACCCGGAAUCACGGGGUUUAAAGGGGCUUUGGACGUCUGUGGUUAAAGGCUGUGGCUUAACCAUGGAAUUGCCAUUGAUACUGCAGAGCUUGAAUGAGGUUGAGGUUGGCGGAAUGUGACAUGUAGCGGUGAAAUGCUUAGAUAUGUCAUGGAACACCGAUUGCGACGGCAGCUGACUGGACCUAUAUUGACGCUGAGGCACGAAAGCGUGGGGAGCGAACAGGAUUAGAUACCCCGGUAGUC
rnacentral:rRNA from 1 species